rnacentral:piRNA from 1 species
UGCCUCGCUUGAAUGUUCAAGCCAACAGCGA